GACGAACGCUGGCGGCGUGCCUAAUACAUGCAAGUAGAACGCAGUUGCGAACGGGUGAGUAACGCGUAGGUAACUGCCUCAUACCGGGGGUUAACUAUUGGAACCGAUAGCUAAUACAGCAUCCUGUGAGAUGGAGCUUCGUUGUAUUAGCUCGUUGGUGAGGUAAAGGGGCACCAAGGCGACGAUACAUAUCCGCGCUGAGAGGGUGGUCGGCAACACUGGGCCUGAGACGCAGCCAAGAACCCUACGGGAGGCAGCAGGAGGGAGUAUUGGGGAAUGGACGGAAGUGGGACCGAGCAACGCGGCGUGAGGUAAGAAGGGGUACGGAGCGGUAAGCUUUGUUGUUAGAGAAGCGGUAACUAACCAGAAAGGGACGGCUAACUACGUGCCAGCAGCCGCGGUAAUAC
rnacentral:rRNA from 1 species